GGGAGCGGGCGAGACGGUCGCGUGCGCCGAGGGGGGCACGAGGAAAGUCCGGGCUCCGCAGGGCAGGAUGCUGGGUAACGCCCAGUGGGAGCGAUCCCGAGGACAGUGCAACAGAAAGGAGACCGCCGGGGUUUCCCCGGUAAGGGUGAAACGGUGAGGUAAGAGCUCACCAGCGCCCCCGGCGACGGGGGCGGCUAGGCAAACCCCAUCCGGAGCAAGGCCGCGUAGGAGAAGAGAAGCUGCCCGCUUCGCUCGAUUCUCGGGUUGGCCGCUCGAGCCGCGGAGCAAUCCGCGGCCUAGAGAAAUGACCGUUGCGGCCCUUGGGCCGAACAGAACCCGGCUUACGACCCGCUCCCGCUU
rnacentral:RNase_P_RNA from 1 species